ensembl:lncRNA
CUGUUGUAUUUGUUAUUUUGAAUCAAACCAGGUAGCUAAAAAGUAAGAUUUGACCUUUGCUCCCGCUCUGUUAGCAUCCACGGUUCCAGCCUGUUGUUUGUGAGCACUACCUGAAAUUCAUCAUUGCCGAGCCAGCUGCUGUUUGCUUUGGCUCUUGUUUGCCCUUUUCCUGUUACACCUGCAGUGGAGGUUUUAUGGCCUUCCCCUUUCCCCUGUGGCUGGAGAGUCAGGCAGGGAGAAAAACUCUCUCAGCAUAUGACUUGGAUGUAGGCAGACAUCCACCGUAACAUGCAGUGGGCUGAAAACAACCCUUUUUAGCAGGUUUUUUGUUCGAGCCAUUCUGAAGGGGCGAAUGGUGCUCUGAGCAUCAUCUUCUGCUCGAUGGCAGUCUAUGAAUGAGCCCUGGAGACCCCACGUUCCAGUUGGGAGCAGUACCAUCAUGCAUCCAUGCCUACUUUAAGCAGAGAUGUGAUAGGGAUCUUAGGUGCCUGCAUUUUGUUUCCACCAUUUCACAGCCUCAGUAAAUGUCUGCCUGUGGCUGAGCCGACAGCCUCACACUGUAACUAUUCUGUGAAAAUUCAGAAACCAUCACACGUACGUUUAUUACAGCCGUGAAGGAUGGGGAAUGGGGGACACCCAGCGCUGCAGCUCCCAUGCCUUGAACAAAAUGGUUAUCAUCUUGAUUAAGGAAUCAAUCUCCUGAAGAGCUGGGCUCCUGCCUCCAAAGCGUGCAUUUCCUAGAAUGUGUCAAGCCAGUACUUCUCUCAAGCGGACACAUAGUUAAUAUCUGCAUAGCUUGAUGCACUAAUGUAGCCUUUCACAAAUGCGUGAAACGGUCAAGAAAAAGAAGUGGGAAAGAAGCAACCGUAAAGCCUCUAUUUUGCGUUGUGUUGUACAAACCCUGCUGACUUCUGCCCUGACAAACUCUCAUGCAGUUGCCUGUUUCCUUUGCAAGUCACAGACAGUCCUGGCCCGGCCCACUCUUACCUGCUGGCUGAGGUUUCCAUUUCCAGGGCACGUACCCAGCAAGGGAUUUCUAUCUACUACAUCUUUCCUCGUGAAGCCAGGGCAAGGAUGGUCAUGGAGUGCUGCAAGCUACCUUCAUGAAGAUCUCUGAGAGCCUGAGUUGACAUGACCAGACCUACUUCAGCUCUGCGAAAUUUUAAAAUCAGCCCUGCAGAAAAACACACGGGCACACAGUUAAAUUCUUUUGAUUUUAAACGAGGACGUCUCCAAUGCAAUCAAUGUGAUUACACUUAACUAAGACUCUGCAGGAGCAAGACAGGUAGGAUUCUUCAGGACUUGCAACAGAGGCUCAUUUUCAGCAUUGUGCAGCUCCACUAACCUCAAGGGGAUGGCAGAGAGCUGGCCUGGAGGAAGCUGUGGGUUGUCCAUCGAGCCAGCACCGAUGUGCUUCAGGCUGCAUCUGCACAGGACCAAAUCGCCCAGCUCCCAUCGUCAGUGCUACAAGGAACAGAGCCGGGCUUUUGGAGCAGAUGCUCCCUCUACACAAAUUAGCCUUCACACCCAACAUAAAUGUCAUGCCUAGUGUGCUGCUGUUGCCAGCCUGGUAUUCAGCUUUGAGCUUUAUUCCCAGAGGGGUGAAUGGCUCAGGCUUUAAUUUGCCAACUGGGGAAAGCUCACGCAGUUAGGAGCACCAGAAUAACACACACAAAGGUCAAAGAGGACAAUUCUGCACUGCCUGCUUCCCAACAUCGCUCGCAUUGAUUUUUU